CCUCCCUCCACCCUGUUGCUGCCCUCCCCUAUCCAAGCACGGCACCCACCACCACCCGGCGACACCGCCGCCGCCUCGCCCCUGUCCACCACCAACGCGGACGCCCCGCCCCCAGCCGCCGACACGCCGCAGGCCCGACCCCAACCGGUGACGCGCCGCACCUCCGCCCCCAAAGGAUCCGGCUGAGGCAUAGCCGCCGCCGCGGGCCUCCUCCCGCAGACCCCGCCGCCGCUGCGGGCCUCCUCCCGCAGACCCCACCGCCGCCGCGGGGCUCAUCCCGCAGACCUGCCGCUGCCGCGAGCUCCCAACCGCGUCGGCGACCUCCUCCCGCAUCCCCGUUGCCGGCCACGCCAACGCGCGUCCCUGCUGGAUCCACCUGAUUCAGCGCACCGUCAUCAACCCCGCCAGCCGCCGCCCCUCCAUCCUUCUUCCCCGGAGCCGGCGGCCGCCUUCUUCCACAGAGCCAGCGGUGGCUCCGCCUUCCUCCACUGGAUGUUCCCCGCGGUCAUCAACUGCACCGUUGUGCAGGGAAAUCAAAACACUUCGGCUCCUUCCGCAUGAGCAGUCCAUCACCUUGGUCAUGAGCAGUCCAUCGCCUCGCAAGCUAGCAAUUUGUUGCCGAUGCUGCUCCUCUUGAUCACGUAGACCGAGCUGCUGCUUUGUCGAUUGGCCGUCCUGCACCCUGUCGCCGGCUCCCUCGAGCUCUGCCGCCCUUCUGGUCCAUCCUCUGCCCAUGAACCGCUGGACCUCGAGCUCGACUAGCCUUAGUCGUGUGUGCGAGUAUGCACUGGUGCGCUCUGUUUUUAGUGUGUUCGUGUGUGCGAGCACUGUUUUGGCUGCGUACGUGUGUGGUGUUGUGUUGGAAAGUUCAGCUAUUGUAUCUCGGAAAGAUCUAAUUUAUUUUCAGUAA